CCCGAAAUGAUUUGCCCCAUUUUAGUCCAGGAUCUAAUCUGAGAAUUGAAAGUUGUAGGGUUUUGAGGUAAGAGUUGGAUUUGCAGGUAAAAGAAAAGGAAGAGGAUGGGAUUCAUAAUGGAAUUUGCGGAGAACUUGGUACUGAGAUUAAUGGAGGACCCAAAGGAACGAGAUCGCAAGUUUCGUGAACAUGUGUAUGCCACUAAGGCCAGGUGCGACAAGACUUUGGAGAUGUGGAGUUAUCCUCUCCGUCCCUAUGGUUUCUGGACCUUUGAUCGCCACAAUGCUCAGAAUUUCUGGGAUCCUCAGAUCAGCCAGGUCCAAGGCCGUCGUGAUCCUUAUGACGACCUCCUUCACCACCACAAAUGAAUCACUUUCAGGAUAGCCAGGAGAGGUCAGCAAAGAAGCUCUUUUACAGUAGCUGGUGUUCCAGAUUGUUUUUUAUGCAUAUUUUCUGUUUUCUGAACAUUCUCCAUGCUUGACAGUUGGACAAUUGAAUAAACAUCAUCAAUGAUGUCAAGGCACCUUGUUUUCACAAGGGGUAAAUGAAUAAUGAGGCGGAAGGCAAAAGGCUAUAGAUGAGGAUAUAGCCGGAACCUGUAGAUGAGGAUAUAAGCUUCUCAAAGUGCUUGUUAAAGCAUGUUAUCGUUUCUGUUGACCCUAAUAUUCUAUGAAGAAAUAUUAUUGUUGAAAUAAAUUCCAGUAGAAGAAAGGGUUGGUGUUGCUUCGAAGGUGAUCAAUUACUAUUUGCGCCUUCAUUUGUUUGUCUUUAGACAAAAGUAUUUGUUUGUAUUGAAAAUACUAUUGAACUUGACAUGAA